rnacentral:misc_RNA from 1 species
CAAGAAAGGCCGUUGAUGCCGUACGUCGUACACAUCCUAGCUCUACAUUCUGACAAAAAUGUUUUAAACUCUCGAGAAGCUCCUACAAAAUUCGUCCCGUUAUCCGAAAAGAUGAAAAAAAUGUCGAAGCAACGUUUAUCGGUUUUAAAUGAUGAUGGUGUUCUGCUUUGUGGGUAUUACAAGAAGUUAAAGACAAUGAAGAAAAAAUUUUUUGUGUUGUAUAACGAAACUCCAUGUAAGGUAGCACGAAUAGAAUAUUAUGAUACUGAAAAAAAAUAUAAAUCGGGUUUUACUCCCAAACGAAUAAUAAAAAUUAAAAAUUGUUUUAAUAUUAAUCGCCGGUUUUACACAAAGCAUGAUUUUGUUAUUGUACUUGCAUCAAAAGAAGGUGGAUUUGGAAUUGUUAUGGAUUCAGAAGACGAAAUUAACACCUGGCUACACCAUUUGUUGCAUUUACAAAGAUCUGGAGAAACGUGUUUUGAUUUGCCAAAUUUUGAUUAUGUCUGGCAAGUCGUAAUACAAAAAAAAGGAAUAGCUGAACAGCACAAUAUUUUUGGAAGCUAUCAUAUAUGUCUUACCAACAAAUCAGUUACAUUUAUAAAAAUAGGUCGGGAAAAAAAUGUAUGCGAUAAAAAAAUUACGAGAAUUGAGGUUUUACUUACAACAAUACGCAGGUGCGGCGACUCUCAGUGCUAUUUUUAUAUGGAAAUUGGAAGGCAAAGUUCCCUUGGUCCAGGCGAGUUAUGGAUGGAAACAGAAGAUUCUUUAACAGCUCAAAAUAUGCAUAGAAUGAUUCUAAGUAAAAUGAUAUCACUUAACGAAUCUUUGAUUGAACCGAUGAGGAAAAGGUCUUCUUCUGCAACAGAAUCGUCAAAUUUAUCUCAUGAUCGAAAAUCUUCCCAAAAUGUAGAUAUAGCAAACAGUUAUUUAUUAAACGCUGAAAAUUUUAGUAGAGAUAGAUGUGACAGUUUACCGUCAAGAAAUCGCUCUUCUAGUGAAUGUAGCAACCAGAGCAUUCGGAUACUACCAAUAACAUCAACGAGCCGCGCAAUUAAUAUGCACAUUAGUAAUACUUCUCCUAUUACAUACUCUGCAAGUGAAGAAUCGGUUAGUGUUGAAGAGUCUGAAGAAAGCAUGGCAAUGCCCCAUUUAAUAAGUUCUAGAUCCCCGGAGGGUGUCAUUCCUGAAGAAUAUAUUGAUGAUGCAGUACAUUCUGAAAAACUCGUUGAAUGUAAUGAUAUGAACUCUGUGGCUGCUUUAUCUUUGGGUCCUGGGUGUAAAGUAAACAUGAACCACAUAAAACAAAAUUGCUCAGCUAAGGUGGCAGAUAUUAACAAAAUUAUAUGCGGAAAUGUAGAUGACCAUCAUAUUUAUAAAAAGUCCAGCUGUUUAAUUUUGUGUGUUAACGGCAUAAAUGUGUUAAACUAUAUGGAUCUAACCAUGCCCAUUUAAUCAUCCCGAAAAACAGCCUUUUUAAGAAUUUUUAAUUGGUGUAUAUGAGUUUAAAUUCAAAUUUAACGAGAAAAGACACAAACCAUAUUUUUUAACAGUGCUUAUUUAGCAGCUAACAGAGCGUUAUUAAUCAUUUAACAGAACAUUGUAACAAAAUUAGGAGAAAGAAAACUGAUAAUUUUUGCAACAGGGUGAAGGAAUGGUGGUCAUCCAUUAAGUUAAAUUCGAAUUUAACGUCACACACACAAAAGUGACCGUUAUAUCAUGUCCACUUUGUAUAUUAGAACUGGAUUAGAACUUUUAAGUUGAGAACAAUAACAUUGGUGAAAAGAAAUUCAAAAAAUUACCACUCAAAUGAUUUUAAAUCUGCCUCAUCUUUAAUUUCCUCCUCAAGAGCAACAUCUUCAUAUUGUGAAAGAAAACAAUUAUAAUACUCUUAAAUUUUCCAUAUUAGGUGAAUUAAUUAAGUCGGAAGAGAAAAGGCUUUGUCAAAUUCUGGAAAACGUAAGUGUUGGUUGUGAAAAACCAUCCACAUUUUUACGUGAAAUAUGUACGUUGGCUUCUGAAUUGCUCAAGGCAUUAUGAAUCGAUUAGUAAUGAUCAGCGCAAGGAUUUUCAUGAGGGCUAGGGUGAGUGAUGUGUGUGCAAAAACUGACUAAGAAACUGAUUCAGAGCCGACGCUUUAAGGUGGCUAUAUGACAAUUUUUUAAAUCAUGAGCACAAACAAUGAACAACAAUAAAUUAAAAAAUAAAACUAUGUAAAUUUUAAUUUCAUUUAGAGAUAA